AUCCUGCUUCAGAUGAAACGCUGGCGGAAUGCUUUACACAUGCAAGUCGAGCGGCAGCGCGGGGCAACCUGGCGGCGAGCGGCGAACGGGUGAGUAAUACAUCGGAACGUACCCAGUUGUGGGGGAUAGCCCGGCGAAAGCCGGAUUAAUACCGCAUACGACCUGAGGGUGAAAGUGGGGGAUCGCAAGACCUCACGCAGUUGGAGCGGCCGAUGGCGGAUUAGCUAGUUGGUAGGGUAAAGGCCUACCAAGGCGACGAUCCGUAGCGGGUCUGAGAGGACGACCCGCCACACUGGAACUGAGACACGGUCCAGACUCCUACGGGAGGCAGCAGUGGGGAAUUUUGGACAAUGGGGGCAACCCUGAUCCAGCCAUUCCGCGUGAGUGAAGAAGGCCUUCGGGUUGUAAAGCUCUUUCGGCAGGAACGAAACGGUGGGCUCUAACAUAGCCUGCUAAUGACGGUACCUGAAGAAGAAGCACCGGCUAACUACGUGCCAGCAGCCGCGGUAAUACGUAGGGUGCGAGCGUUAAUCGGAAUUACUGGGCGUAAAGCGUGCGCAGGCGGUCCUAUAAGACAGAUGUGAAAUCCCCGGGCUUAACCUGGGAACUGCGUUUGUGACUGUAGAACUAGAGUGUGGCAGAGGGGGGUGGAAUUCCACGUGUAGCAGUGAAAUGCGUAGAGAUGUGGAGGAACACCGAUGGCGAAGGCAGCCCCCUGGGUCAACACUGACGCUCAUGCACGAAAGCGUGGGGAGCAAACAGGAUUAGAUACCCUGGUAGUCCACGCCCUAAACGAUGCGAACUAGGUGUUGGGGGAGGAGACUUCCUUAGUACCGCAGCUAACGCGUGAAGUUCGCCGCCUGGGGAGUACGG
rnacentral:rRNA from 1 species